rnacentral:rRNA from 1 species
CCUACGGGAGGCAGCAGUGGGGGAUAUUGCACAAUGGGGGAAACCCUGAUGCAGCGAAGCCGCGUGGGUGAAGAAGCCCCUCGGCGUGUAAAGCUCUGUCAGCAGGGAAGAAAAUGACGGUACCUGAAGAAGAAGCCCCGGCUAACUACGUGCCAGCAGCCGCGGUAAUAUGCAGGGGGCAAGCGUUAUCCGGAUUUACUGGGUGUAAAGGGGGCGUAGACGGGGAUGAAAGCCAGGAGUGAAAGCCCGGGGCCCAACCCCGGAACUGCACUUGAAACUGCGUGGCUAGAGUGCAGGAGGGGCAGGCGGAAUUCCUGGUGUAGCGGUGAAAUGCGUAGAUAUCAGGAGGAACACCGGUGGCGAAGGCGGCCUGCUGGACUGCAACUGACGUUGAGGCGCGAAAGCGUGGGGAGCAAACAGGAUUAGAUACCCGGGUAGUC